UCUACUCUUGUUUUUGGCUGUAGAUACACAAGCAGCUUCUAUAGUGUGUGACUCACACAUGUAUACAUACCAUAGCAUCUCAUUCUCAGCAGAUCAUGCAAACCAGACGUGCUAUCAACAAUAUGGUGGUCGGCCAUUGUCUACAGACGGGCAGCAACUCAGCUGUGCCUCACAACUGCUGAACACAUCGCAAGUCUUGCAUGACAACAACAUCAGCUACAUACCGGUAUAUACCAACGUCACUAAUGGGUCUCAUUGCACUACCUACCAACCAUCAACCAACACAGUAGGUCAAGACUCCUGCACCAUGGCACGACCAACAAUCUGCGUGUCUCUCUACUGCAACGACAGCAACAACUUGGUAGCAGCACGUAAUGAAGACCGGUGUAUGUGUAGACCUGGUUAUAUCAGGACAUCCGCACACAGAUGUGAAUCCAUUUUCGACAUGCUCAAUAUAAAGGUACCGACUACCACGGUACCUUUGAUGCCAGACAUGCCAGCUUCCGUAACCUCUUCAUCCGCAGUCACCAUAGAUCGUAGUAGUUGCAUCACAGAUACAAGUACAUCCAUCAACUCCACGCCAUCGGCCCGCAGUGAGAAUGGUACUGAUUCUACAAUAACUACAUGUAUGUCCCGGGUGAACAAGGCGAUCAUUUAUUCCACUCUCGUAACAGCAUUGUUAAUGACGGAGAUCUUUGCAGCCAUCACACUGAUAUACAUAACAUACCAGGCAAGAAACUAGGUCUUAGUUACAAUCGCAAUUCCUGCACUUUUGUUCUCUUUUUCUUUAUAUCCCUUUUUUCCCAGUAUCUCAUAAUAGUCACAAAUGUAAGAGUACUCCGUAAAUCUUUUGUUGUUUCAGUUGGUCUCAUUGUGUUUGUCAUAUUAUGGUAUAAAGUGAUAAGAUAAGUUGCUAAAAUAUCGCAUGUACUUCAUCAAUGGUAGUUCACGUCUCUUCAAAUUGAUAUGCAGUUCACUGUACCUAUUGAUACAUUGAUUGGUACAUUGAUACGUUCAUGCGUUCAUAGGAUAAUCAUUUAUUUUAUUUUAUAAAGUUUUGAUGUAAAGUGUAUUCCAGUUUGGGUUUGAAAAACUAUAUUUUACACAUGCAUUUUCCUGAUUUCUUCUCCAGUGUAUGUUGCACUGCAUUUUAAUCCAUUGAUGCUUGUAUCACAUAAUGUUGUUUAAAAGUACAUUGCAUCUGCGACGUGGGCAGUAGGUAUACGCCUCAACCCUCAAUGCUCACUUUAGCUACACGAUGGUGCAAGACUGCAGGUUGUCCAUUUUGAAAUUUAUCCGUUUUGCAUGUUGUUUUUGAUACAUGCAUGCUCUUUUGUACUUGUUUGUAAUUGUCCAUACUAUGCAUGCGUGGAGUCAAGACCAGCAAACCAUUGAUUCAUGCUGCGAAUUCAAAUAAAUCAAUA